rnacentral:sRNA from 1 species
GCCGGACAUGGUGGCACACGCCUGUAAUCCCAGCAGCUUGGGAGGCUGAGCCAGGAGGAUCGUGAGUUCAAAGCCAGCCUCAGCAAAGGUGAGGUGCUAAGCAACUCAGUGAGACCCUGUCUCUA